GUGCCCGUAGCUCAGUGGAUAGAGCAACUGCCUUCUAAGCAGUAGGUCUGAGGUUCGAAUCCUCACGGGCAUAC
rnacentral:tRNA from 15 species